GACGAACGCUGGCGGCGUGCCUAAUACAUGCAAGUAGGACGCAGUUGCGAACGGGUGAGUAACGCGUAGGUAACUACCUAUUAGAGGGGGAUAACUAUUGGAAACGAUAGCUAAUACCGCAUACUAGUAGAUGGACCUGCGUUGUAUUAGCUAGUUGGUAGGGUAAUGGCCUACCUAGGCAAUGAUACAUAGCCGACCUGGGGAGGUGGUCGGGCAAACUUGGACUGGGGCACGGCCCAGACUCCUUCGGGGGGCAACAGGAGGGGAUCAUCGGAAAUGGGGGGAACCCUGACCGAGCAACGCCGCGUGAGUGAAGAAGGUUUUCGGAUCGUAAAGCUCUGUUGUUAAGGAAGCGGUACUUAACCAGAAAGGGACGGCUAACUACGUGCCAGCAGCCGCGGUAAUAC
rnacentral:rRNA from 1 species